CAGCAGCCGCGGUAAUACGUAGGUGGCAAGCGUUGUCCGGAAUUAUUGGGCGUAAAGCGCGCGCAGGCGGAUAGGUCAGUCUGUCUUAAAAGUUCGGGGCUUAACCCCGUGAUGGGAUGGAAACUGCCAAUCUAGAGUAUCGGAGAGGAAAGUGGAAUUCCUAGUGUAGCGGUGAAAUGCGUAGAUAUUAGGAAGAACACCAGUGGCGAGGGCGACUUUCUGGACGAAAACUGACGCUGAGGCGCGAAAGCCAGGGGAGCGAACGGGAUUAGAUACCCCUGUAGUCCCUGUCUCUUAUACC
rnacentral:rRNA from 1 species